UGGUGUCUCACUUCCCAUGUG
rnacentral:misc_RNA from 1 species